CUGUUAGUAGGCCAAACACAGUUCAGCAAGAAAUGCAAAGAGCUUUUCCAGCACUUUACCAUGGAAGCCGUAAACGAAUGAAAAAAAUGGCACCUGAACCUGCAAAACUUACAUCUGUAAAGUUCUUAGAAUUCCAGUUCUGCUUGCUGUCCAAAAACUCCCAAAAGACUCCCAAAGAUGAAACAGUUCUCUUACAAGCAGGGCUAGGCAGAAGAACUGUAAAUAUUCCAGACAAUGCUGAUCAUACUGAGAUAACCAAAGUACUUCUUCAGGAGUACCCAAAGUUGCAAAACUUAAGGGGUGGUUGGCUGCCCCAAAAAGCCUCAGGUAAGUUUAUGAUACCAAAUGCAUUUACAUAUUUUUUAUCCUUUUACCAACAUUGUUAUUGUUUUUCACAUGUCUAUUUAAAAGGGGACAGUGGGCAAAUGAAAACAACAUCUCUGGCCCAGGAUUCCCACGGCUACACAGCAAAAAUAUUGAAGACGUCCUCUAACAAUGGGAAGAAUGUCAUCUACAUCGUCCCCCUCCAAGAAGAAAUCGAUAUAACCCCGUUGCCAUAUAAUGCACCUGAAUUUCAUAACAUGCCCAAAAACAUCUGCAUGACAUGUGGUAUAUCAGUCCCAUUUCAGUUGCUGCCAUGUCCCCUUGAGGAUUGUCAAAGUAAU